CCUGGCUCAGGAUGAACGCUGGCGGCGUGCCUAAUACAUGCAAGUCGAACGAGGUGCUUGAGUAGCAAUACAAGAGUAUCCUAGUGGCGAACGGGUGAGUAACGCGUGGAUGACCUGCCCCAAAGUGUGGGAUAACAGUCCGAAAGGAUUGCUAAUACCUCAUGUGGUUGUUGGAUUUAGAAACUGACAACUAAAGCAGCAAUGCGCUUUGGGAGGGAUCUGCGUCCCAUCAGCUAGUUGGUGAGGUAACGGCUCACCAAGGCGACGACGGGUAGGGGACCUGAGAGGGUGGCCCCCCACAAUGGAACUGAAACACGGUCCAUACACCUACGGGUGGCAGCAGUAGGGAAUAUUGCUCAAUGGGCGAAAGCCUGAAGCAGCAACGCCGCGUGUGCGAUGAAGGCCUUGGGUCGUAAAGCACUUUCUGAGAGAUGAGAAAGGACAGUAUCUCAGGAAUAAGUCUCGGCUAACUACGUG
rnacentral:rRNA from 1 species